rnacentral:rRNA from 1 species
GCCCAGCCUUAACAAAACAAUAAAAUUACCUAUUGUUCGCCAAAUAACUACGAGUAACAACUUAAAACUUAAAAGACUUGACGGUACCCCACAACAACCUAGAGGAGCCUGUCUAAUAAAUGAUACCCCACGAUUAACCCUACCCACCAUAGCCCAAGCAAGUCUAUAUACCGCCGUCGCCAGCUCACCUCAUGAGAGAGCAAAAGUGAGCCAAAUAGUCCUAACACUAACACGACAGGUCAAGGUGUAACUAAUGGGUGGGCCCAAGAUGGGCUACAUUUUCUUAACCAGAAAACACGAAUUCAACUAUGAAAAAAGAAACUGAAGGCAGAUUUAGCAGUAUAUUAAGAACAAAAAUACUUAAUUGAAACCAACGCAAUGGGGUGCGCACACACCGCCCGUCAUCCCUGCAUCCAAAUAAACUAUCCAUAAUAACACCAACUACAAACCAGGGCAAGUCGUAACAUGGUAAGUGUACUGGAAAGUGCACUUAGAAAC